CACACUUCACGGGUCUUUUCCUCUGAACCCUUCCGACACGCAUCCUGAAGUCUGCAGUGUAACCCUCUAUCAGGCAGCACGUAUUCAGCAAGUUUUAAAACUGCUGGCUGUGUGUGGGGCUAUUAAAAAAAAAAAAAUCCACCUUUCCCCCUCUGGAGAUGGGACCGUGACCUGGCUCUGGAAACAGAAACGCCAGCGCUGCCGAGGCGGGGCUGCCUUGCCCUCCGCGUGUGCACAGGAGAGCAAUUCAUACCAGCCAGACCGGAAAAAUCGCCACGGAGAGCAACUGCGGAAGCGGGGGCAGCGAGAGGGCCGUCAAGGAGCCCGACGCCCCGCGCGGUGAGUCACAGGAAACGCGCCUGCCAGGCCGGGGGGCCCAGCACACGUCUCCUCCAGCUAAGAAUGUAGGUCAAGUCUCCCUGGGCGUCACGCUUCAGGGAUCGGGGGAACCAGGGCCCGGACCUCAGGGGCAGCAGCCAGCCCCCUGGGUGCAGGGAGGCCGGCGGGCCACCGACCUCCGUCUGCCCUUGACGCCGCCGCCGCCACUCCGGACCGAGCCCAGAGAGAGUCAGGACAAGUCUCAUUGCUAUACAAGCUGGAUUCUAAUUAUCUGAAAAAUCCCAUCUCUCCCUUCGAACUGAUUCUGAAGACUACAUUACAAUGUACAGAAAUCUGA